rnacentral:tmRNA from 1 species
UUUAUUGUAAAAUUCACACAAAAACACUACAUAUAACGUGCUGGCUUGCCAGCUAUGAUGAUAAACGCGCUUGUCAUAAGCGGACUGGACCCGGGGGCGGUACCCGGCGGCUCCACCAUAAACACAUUGAUUUCGGUGUGUUUUUGAUGGGGCCGAAAUAGGAUCGACAGACGUCUAAAGAAGUUAGCUUUCAUCCGAUUUGGUAUCGUUAAAUGCCUAAUUUUAGUAAUUGCAAAUGACAAUUCUAAUGAAGGUUUUGCACUCGCAGCGUAAGCAGCGCGUCUAAACCGCACUUUAACUCCUAGCGUGUCAUAACCCUAGGCGGGCUUCGGAGGGUAGCUGGCAACAGAAACCCUCCACU